rnacentral:antisense_RNA from 1 species
AUAAGGUCAAUUGGACAAGUAUAAUUCUUUUCGGUAUAAAACAUAUUGGUUGACUUGGAAUCAACAAAAUCUCUGACCUUUGAGAUGAAUCUGAGACCAAAUCUUUCAAGUUUUUGCCUUGCGCCCCAUCCAGGAAGUGUUUUAAGAGCAUCUAAUGAAAGCGGGAGAUUCUCAACAAGAGCAUCAAUAGCUUCCUUUGAUGCAAUAGAGUUGGUAUUAGAGAUUCCAAACUCUGCAGCUAAGUUUCUUCUUAGUAAAAGUAAUUGAUUUCUAAAAUCUUUAAGCUGUUCAUUUUCACUGUUAGAUUCUUGAUACAUCAAAUUUGCCUGCUUCUUCUUAACUAUUGAAUGGGGAGAUCCUUUAUCAAUGAAUUGUCUUUUUCUUCUGGAUUCCUUGAGAUUCUUAUCGUGAUUCAAGUUCUCUAUGUUGUUAGAGUUAGAUAUUAAGCCAUUAUUAGCAAAAUUAAUAUCUGAAGAAGAUUGUUUUGAGUUAAAAGAAUACAAGGAAAGAGAUGAGUUAAUAUUAUGGCCCAAAUUAACAUUAUUUGAUUCUGGAAUUGGAGUAGAGUAGAUGGACUCUAACUGUAAGGCUUUGAAACAAGAAAAGUCGAGUUCAUAGAUAUCUUGUUUUUCUGCUUGUUUAUCAAUUUUAAGAGAAGCAACUGAUACUCCAUUUUUGAGUUGAACCAAAUUCUCAGAAAAAAGCUGAUUAAUAAUAAACAAAUGCAGGAAUCUUUGCAGAUUUCCUGGCUUCCAAAUAUUUGUAUCAUUAAGAAGACCAAUACAGUCUUUAAGGGAGCCUUUUGAUUGCUUAUCUUUCUUUUUCUUUCCUUUUAAGAUUUCUGCUAAGCUAGAUAAAGUUAAAAAUCCAUAGGUUUUUGUAGCUCUUGCCUGUUCUUGAAGGCUCAUUCUUACUGAGUGAAAGACUUGACGAGCAAGACCUUCCACAUUAAUGUUAGUCGGCUUUUCUAAUUCAGAUCUCAUACAAUUAUCGCAUUUAACCUUACAUUUUCCUUUAAAAUCCUCUCCAAAAUGGCUUAGAAUCAUUGUUCUUCUGCAUUUAUAUUGUUCUUCACAAUAUUUCACCAUACCUAAAAGUCCAUCAAUUGUGGAUUUGUUAUUUGAAGAGUUAUUCUUGGAGGUAUAAUACUUUUUGGAAGGUUUUUCAAUGUUAACUCCUGCUAAAGUUUGUAAUCUAGAGACAUCUUUGUAAGAGUAAUAUAAUAUACAUUUAGACUCUAGUCCAUCUCUUCCAGCUCUACCACUUUCUUGGUAAUAGUUUUCAAGGGAUUUUGGCAUGGAUAGAUGAAUCACAAGUCUAACAUCUUUUUUAUUGAUUCCCAUUCCAAAUGCUAUGGUUGCUACCAUGACCUGCUUUUCGUCAUUCAUCCAUCUUCUUUGUGCCAGAUUCCGCUUAUCUUCUUUCAUGGAUCCAUGGUAAUAUGUUGCAGAAAUUCCUUCCUUGUUCAAAUCUUUGGAGACUUCUUCGCACUCAUUUCUGCUCAAACAGUAGAUAAUACUUGUUGAUCUACAAAACCGUGGAGAUCUAAGCAGCUCACAGAUCUCAUUGAGCAUCUUUUUUUUACUUCCACUUUUAGCUCUUACCUCAUAUUUUAGAUUUGGUCUGUCAAAAGAAAGACUAAAGAUAGCAGGAGAUCGCAUCUUUAGUUGUUUAAUUACAUCACUCAAAAUACUAUGAGUGGCAGUGGCAGUUAAUGCUAUUAUCGGGACAUUUGGGAACUCUUCUCUGAGUUUACAAAGUUGAAUAUAGUCAGGUCUAAAGUCAAAUCCCCAUUGACAAACACAAUGAGCCUCAUCAAUUGCAAAUCUUAAUAAUCUUGAUUCAUCAUUAAUUUGCUUUAGUAGUGAAAACAAAGUCUUUGAAUGCUUAAGCUUUUCGGGAGUUACAAAUAGAAAGGCAGGACAUGUUUCAGGAUCUCCCUUCUUCAGUAAGGAUGUAAUAUGAUUCAACUCAUCUGCAGACUGAUUACUAUUCAAACUUGCACAUUUAAUGCCGAGUAUAUUCAACUGUUCAAUUUGGUCAACCAUAAGUGCAACUAAGGGCAUGAUAACCACCGUCACACUUGCAGGGUUGUUAUAUUUUAAAAGGCCAGGAAGCUGGAAACAAAGUGACUUUCCUCCUCCUGUUGGCAUCAUAACAAAAACGUCCCUUUGAGAAACCACUGCAUUCAUUAUCUGUCUUUGAUUUGACCUAAAUGAUUCAUUGCCAAAAACUUGCUCAUUGAUUCUUUUCAUAUCCUCUGACCAUUCAAAAUCUUCCCUUUCCCAAUCUUGGUCCUUCUCAUUGACCUGAACUUUUCUCCUGCAAUUCAAUAACUUUUUCUCGUUUGAAGAGCUUUUCUUUGUUGUAUUCUUUCUGGACUUUGUUUUAACCGUUGAAAAGUCAGAAUUUGGCAGGAUAUUCAAAAUUGUAUAUAAAUUCUCCUUGCUAGAAGAUGAGCUUGAUACAAUCUCCUCUACUUCCCUUCCUCCACAUCCCAAUACUUUCAAUUCUAUAACUUCAUCUUCAUUCUCUUCCUUACACAACUCUUCAACUUUUUUGUGAUUACUAAUUAUGUUGUCCACAUGAUUAUCCGAAAUCUCUGCCACGUAUGUAUUUUCAAUACCGGUGUUUGCAUGCGGGUGUGUGCAUGCAUGGCUAUCACUAUUGAAGGUAAUUUUUUUUGAAACAUUUCGAAUUACAUUGGAAAACGAGGAAAAGUCUCUGAUAGGUUUUCCGAAAAAGAUUUUACCGAUAUUGUUUGUUUCAUUUUGCAGCACACAUGAUAUUUCUGAGUUAGAACUUCUGCCUUUAUUCAAUUUAGAGAGUAAAUCGUUUUUUAUUUGUUCAAAAUUCUCCUUAUACCAU